UACGGGGGGGGCAAGCGUUGUUCGGAAUUACUGGGCGUAAAGGGCGCGUAGGCGGCCUGUUAAGUCGAACGUGAAAUCCCCGGGCUCAACCCGGGAACUGCGUCCGAUACUGGCAGGCUUGAAUUCGGGAGAGGGAUGCGGAAUUCCAGGUGUAGCGGUGAAAUGCGUAGAUAUCUGGAGGAACACCGGUGGCGAAGUCGGCAUCCUGGACCGAGAUUGACGCUGAUGCGCGAAAGCCAGGGGAGCAAACGGG
rnacentral:rRNA from 1 species